AUUGAACGCUGGCGGCAGGCCUAACACAUGCAAGUCGAGCGGAUGAGUGGAGCUUGCUCCAUGAUUCAGCGGCGGACGGGUGAGUAAUGCCUAGGAAUCUGCCUGGUAGUGGGGGACAACGUUUCGAAAGGAACGCUAAUACCGCAUACGUCCUACGGGAGAAAGCAGGGGACCUUCGGGCCUUGCGCUAUCAGAUGAGCCUAGGUCGGAUUAGCUAGUAGGUGAGGUAAUGGCUCACCUAGGCGACGAUCCGUAACUGGUCUGAGAGGAUAAUCAGUCACACUGGAACUGAGACACGGUCCAGACUCCUACGGGAGGCAGCAGUGGGGAAUAUUGGACAAAGGGCGAAAGCCUGAUCCAGCCAUGUCGCGUGUGUGAAGAAGGUCUUCGGAUUGUAAAGCACUUUAAGUUGGGAGGAAGGGCAGUAAGUUAAUACCUUGCUGUUUUGACGUUACCAACAGAAUAAGCACCGGCUAACUACGUGCCAGCAGCCGCAGUAACAC
rnacentral:rRNA from 1 species